rfam:Lupinus angustifolius cultivar Tanjil chromosome LG05, whole genome shotgun sequence.
ACAGUGGUACAACUUGUGAGACAAUAGAUUUGUUUCCUAUACCAAUACCACACACAUGCUACAAUAGCCCGGACAAAGGAUCGCGAUCCUGCGAGGGUGAGCUAACUCCAAAAACCCGUCCUCGGUUCAGAUUCUAGGUUGCAAUUUACCUGCAUGAAACCGAAAUCACGGGUAGUCGUCGGUCAAUCAUAUAACGGUGAAUUCGUUC